AUUGAACGCUGGCGGCAGGCCUAACACAUGCAAGUCGAGCGGAUGAAGGGAGCUUGCUCCUGGAUUCAGCGGCGGACGGGUGAGUAAUGCCUAGGAAUCUGCCUGGUAGUGGGGGAUAACGUCCGGAAACGGGCGCUAAUACCGCAUACGUCCUGUGGGAGAAAGUGGGGAUCUUCGGACCUCACGCUAUCAGAUGAGCCUAGGUCGGAUUAGCUAGUUGGUGGGGUAAAGGCCUACCAAGGCGACGAUCCGUAACUGGCCUGAGAGGAUGAUCAGUCACACUGGAACUGAGACACGGUCCAGACUCCUACGGGAGGCAGCAGUGGGGAAUAUUGGACAAUGGGCGAAAGCCUGAUCCAGCCAUGCCGCGUGUGUGAAGAAGGUCUUCGGAUUGUAAAGCACUUUAAGUUGGGAGGAAGGGCAGUAAGUUAAUACCUUGCUGUUUUGACGUUACCAACAGAAUAAGCACCGGCUAACUUCGUG
rnacentral:rRNA from 1 species